GAUGAUGAUAAUAAAGGAAGAUCAAUGGACAAAGACAUUGGUACACAUCCGUGUAUAGAAGAUACACCGGAUCAUAGGUUUACGACAUGAGAUUAUAAUUUCAUGGUACCAUACUUAGUAUAUUGUCCAUAAGUAUGUUUAGCCUGUCUGACAAAAGUAUAGACAAGUCGACAGCAAAGGUUCACUUUUUGACCUUGCACACACGAUGUCAGAAGACAUGAGAAAAGACCGGAGAGGUCGAAGUGGUCCAAUUACGGUUCAAUAAUAAACUUGGCCGAUUUGUUUACUUCCUACCUGCACGUUCAGGAAGC
rnacentral:lncRNA from 1 species